rnacentral:lncRNA from 1 species
CAACUGUGUGUCUGAUGUGGACUCGUAAGUCAUGGGAAUGACCAGGGCGAGGUGUCAGCUUACGAUUUCUGCAUGCUUCCCCUCACUCCUAAGCUCACUCUCCACAAGCAGGGAGAGGGGAGAUGGCGAUGGCAGAAAUCUUCUCACAGAUCACUCACCUGGGAGCAGCCAGCUUCUCUGUCACGAGGACACUCAAAAAACCCAAUGGAGGAGCUCACAUGGUAAAGAACUGAGGCUUUCUGCCAACAGCCAGUGAGGAACUGAGCCCUGCUGGCAGCUGCCAGAUAAGCAAGCCAUCUUGGAAGAAGACCCCCAGCCUGUCAAGCCUUCAGCAACUGCAGCCCCAGCUGAUGCAAGAAACCAGAGUCAGAAUUACUCAGCAAGGCAUUCCUAAAUUUCUGACCCAUAGAAAUUGUAAGAUAAUAAAUGUUUGGGGUUUUUCUUUAAUCCACUAAGUCUGUGGGUAAUGUAUAUGAGCAGUGGAUAGCUUAUACUGUAAGAAAAAUAGAGGCAUUGGAUAUAAACCACUGGUCCAAAAAUUUUAACAAACAGAAAGAAAGAGACAGCAAGUAGUAGAGUGGAGCUGGAGGGAGCAGAGGUUGAAAGAGAAUACUGUCAUGGCAAAGGGCAUGGGUUUUUAAGAUAAAUCAGACAUGAAUUUGAAACCAGCACUGACACCUGUUAACUAUGUGACCUUGGGCAAACACUUAGAGUCUGUAAGCAUCAGUGUCUUCUUUUGUCUGUGUUCUUAAAAUAAUAGUACCUACUUCACACAUUUAUUUUAGAUCAAAAGACAAAAUGCACAGGAAAUAUCUACUUGGCACAUAGCAGACAGUAGACAGGUAUAAGUUAUUAGUGAUCACUUCAUUGAAGGUAAACAUGACACUCUGCUAACCUACACUGCCUGACUUUGCAGGGAAUGGAGUACCAUUUCAAUGCUUAUUGUUUUUUUUUUUCUUUUUCUUUUCUUGUUUUUUUUUUUAAAUUCUGAGAUAUAUCAGAAACAUGAUUUACUUUAUUUAACUAGAUAAACUUAAGUUCUGUGUAUCCAAAAUAUUCCAAGGACAGCAGAAGCAGAUAAAUCUGGAAAAAAAGUAUUUGAAUAGAAAUAAAUGUUGUUUCAAAAAAGUUUCUCCUUUUCUUGCCUUUUAGAGCAAUGUAGGCACCAUGCUUAGUACAUACACAAAACCUCCAACAUCAUCUACUUACAGAUCGUUCAUGUCAGUUCCAUGUUUAUUACUUUGAAGAGGGCAAAUUUUUUCAACAAGAGCUACUAUGCACUUAAGGCAUAUUCUCAAAAUCUCCAAGACUUAGUGUUCAUAUCUAUAGUAGUAAUU